UGUGCAUAAAAAUGCAUAUACAGGUGUGUGUGUGUACCAAAAACACACACACCUGUAUAUGCAUUUUUAUGCACACU
rnacentral:miRNA from 1 species